ACGAAGGAAGUACAACCUCUGCUGAGCCUUUUUCACAACGGAGUCAAUGUGAAUGUCCCACUUCAGGUCCUGGGAGAUUGUGGUUCCCAGGAUUCUGAAUGACUCCACUGCUGUGACAAUGCUGCAUGAUGGUUAGUGGUAAGCGGGGAGCUCCAAGGCUCAGGACCGUCGCAUGGAUAUAGAUGGAUGUAUAGUAAAUGGAAGGAAAGAGGAUUUCAUGUGCGGAAAGAAGACAUCUGCCUCAUUCUGACAACUGUUUCACUCCAUUAGCUGAGAUUCACAGUGCCUUCAAAGGCUGAUAUAAAGACUGAUAUAAAGACUGAUAUAAAGGCUGAUAUAAAGACUGAUAUAAAGACUGAUAUAAAGAAUGAUCUUACUCUUUCAUUCUUUAAUCCCUUCUUGUUAAGCUUUUAGUGCCAUAGAGCUGCUUCACACUAAUGUCUGUACUGACUGCCUUCUGAUGUAACUUUAGUCUUUUGUGGAUUCUUUCUGUCAUUUAAAUGUCAUGUAAAAGUUUAUUUUAAAUGAAUGCGUUCCUUUUUAAACUAUACACUUUAAAUACACACAAAAAAUCAGACUUAAAUGAAUCUGACUCUUUAAAUCUACACUUGUCCUUUAAAUCCUUUUGACACUGUAAGAUUUACUGCAUAUUGUGAUGAAUGGUGUUAGUGGGUAAAGAAGUGAGAACAGAAAUCAUUCGUACUGACGUUCAAAAGAUGAAUCAGUUUGUGAAAGCAACAUUGAAAUGCAAAUGAAUAAAGAUGGUCUUACCUCGACAA